rnacentral:lncRNA from 1 species
UGUCAUUUUUCACAGAAACAGGAAAAACGUACCCUAAAAUCUAUAUGGAACCCAAAAGACCCCAAAUAGCAAAAGCCAUCCCGCACAAAGAGAACACUGGGAGGAUUAUCAUUCCCGAGAUGAACCUACAUUACAAAGCCAUGGCAACAAGAAACGAUAGUACUGGCCCAAAAAUAGACAUGUAGACCAAUAUAAAAAUAUAGAAGACCCAAACAUGGAUGCAUGUAAUUGUAAUUGUAGAAAAGCCCAAAGCCCCCCAACAAAACAAAAAAACAAAAACCCCACCAAAACCCCAAAACAAACAAAAACAAAAACACACCAAAGAAAAGACAGAAUCUUCAACAAAUCAUGUUAGGAAAGCUGAAUGUCCAUUGUGGAGGAAUGAAAUUAGACCUGUGUCUGUCCCCAUCUUCCUGACCUCCAAUGCAUCAAAGAUCUCAGUGUGAAGCCUGGACUGCUGAGCUGCUAGGAGAACACACAGGCAGUGCCAUCCUGAGAUAAGCACAGAAGAGGACUUUCUGAACCAGACUCCACUUGUCCAGGAGUUAAGGACAACAGUUAACAAAUAGGGCCUCAUAAAACCAAAACGAUUUUGUACAGCAAGGAAAACAAUCAAGUAAGUGAAGGGAAGCCCAGAACGGGCAAGAAUCUCUGCAGCUUCAUAUCCAGGAUAUAUAAAGGAUCAGAAAUCAGAGUCAAGAGAACAAAUGACCCAAUUACAAAGGAUCCACUGGUCUGAACAGAAGCUUUUGAAAGAAACAACUAAAGUGCCCAGAACAUAACUUUUAGAAGUGGUCAUCAUUAAGUGGGGGAUAGUUUCAUAUGAGGAAUCUGCUUGACUGUCCCCUGGUUGCUUGACUGACCCCUGGUGCUGUUUCACCCUUAGAUGUGGACAUGAGGAUCCUUGUCUAGGUCCUGGACUACAAGAGUAGGCCACCAUUAGUGGGUCACAUGACAGGAGGCCAACAUUAGAGUGUCAUGUGUUAGUGUGUCACAUGGUAGUGCUGGCCAAAAAAGCAGGAUUGUAACCUUAGCAUACCUUACCAUGAUCAGCACCUCCCAGGCCCAGGAAGCAGACUGCCACAUCUUAGCUUAGGGCUGCAGGCCCUGAGGACUGUAUGCUGCGGUCACAGGGCACAGUGCCCAUUCUUUCUUUGCAUCUCAUGAUGCACGAGUCCUUCUUCAAGGUCAAUCCUGAGGUAGCUGUGGAUUUGCUGUCAGGCAAGGCAGCCAAAGCAACCUGACUGAAAUUCACCUCCUGACAACGAAAUUUGUCACAUUGGGUAUAUAUGUAGUAUGACUGAAGUUAGGUACAGUCAGUGUAGAAUUUCAGGAGACAGAAUUGUUAGUAGCUUUAUUUUCAUAUACAUAGGUAAUAGGAUACACUGAACAUUGAAAAAAUAAAUAUAGUAUUAUUUUAUAUAAAUAGUUUUGAUUUAUUUUGUCCUUAAUUUUAGUGGGCAGUUUAACAUACAAC